rnacentral:rRNA from 1 species
GAUGAACGCUAGCGGCAGGCUUAAUACAUGCAAGUCGAGGGGCAGCGGGGGUAGCAAUACCUGCCGGCGACCGGCAAACGGGUGCGGAACACGUACACAACCUUCCCAUAAGUGGGGGAUAGCCCAGAGAAAUUUGGAUUAAUACCCCGUAAUAUUAUUUAGUGGCAUCAUUAGAUAAUUAAAGCUCCGGCGCUUAUUGAUGGGUGUGCGUCUGAUUAGGUAGUUGGUGAGGGUAACGGCCCACCAAGCCUUCGAUCAGUAACUGGUGUGAGAGCACGACCAGUCACACGGGCACUGGAGACACGAGCCCGACUCCUACGGGAGGCAGCAGUAAGGAA